UACGGAGGGGGCUAGCGUUGUUCGGAAUUACUGGGCGUAAAGCGCGUGUAGGCGGCAGGGCAAGUCGGAUGUGAAAGCCCACGGCUCAACCGUGGAAGUGCACCCGAAACUGCCUCGCUAGAGUCUCGGAGAGGAAGGUGGAAUGCUUGGUGUAGAGGUGAAAUUCGUAGAUAUCAAGCGGAACACCGGUGGCGAAGGCGGCCUUCUGGACGAUGACUGACGCUGAGACGCGAAAGCGUGGGGAGCAAACAGG
rnacentral:rRNA from 1 species